rnacentral:rRNA from 1 species
GACGAACGCUGGCGGCGUGCUUAACACAUGCAAGUCGAACGGAAAGGCCCCUUUGGGGGUACUCGAGCGGCGAACGGGUGAGUAACACGUGAGUAACCUGCCCUUCACUUCGGGAUAACCUCAGGAAACUGGGGCUAAUACCGGAUAGGAAUCCUUGCCGCAUGGCGGGGGUUGGAAAGCUUGGGCGGUUUUGGAUGGAGUCGCGGCUUAUCAGCUUGUUGGUGGGGUAGUGGGCUACCAAGGCUUUGACGGUUAGCCGGCCUGAGAGGGCGACCGGCCACAAUGGGGCUGAGAUACGGCCCAGGCUUCUACGGGGGGGAGGAGGGGGGAAUAUUGCACAAUGGGCGGAAGCCUGAUGCAGCAACGCCGCGUGCGGGAUGACGGGCUUCGGGUUGGAAACCGCCUUCAGGAGGGGCGAAGCUUGUGGUGACGGUACCUGCAGAAGAAGCACCGGCUAACUACGUG